GAGCAGGAGGGAGUGUGAGGAAAGAGGAGCUAAUCUGGUGAUCAUUAACAGCAAAGAGGAGCAGGAUUUUGUGGGACAACUGGACACGAAUGAAAACUCCUGGAUUGGUCUGAAAGCUGAAUUGUCGACAUCGAAACGGAUAUAUGAAUGGAAAUGGGUGGACAGGUCACCACUGACAACAACGUUCUGGGCUGCAGGAUCAUCUCAACAUCAGUAUGACCUACUUGAAUAUGCUGCAGUGUGUUGCACUAAUGAAG